rnacentral:rRNA from 1 species
GUUUGAUCCUGGCUCAGAUUGAACGCUGGCGGCACGCCUUACACAUGCAAGUCGAGCGGUCAAAAUGAGGGAGCUUGCUCCCGAAAGACGAGCGGCGGACGGGUGAGUAACGCGCGGGAACGCGCCCUUUGGCGGGGGACAACCUUGGGAAACCAGGGCUAAUACCGCAUAAUCUCUACGGAGUAAAGCGGGGGAUCUUCGGACCUCGCGCCAUUGGAGCGGCCCGUGUCCGAUUAGUUUGACGGCGGGGUAACAGCCCACCGUGGCUACAAUCGGUAGCUGGUCUGAGAGGAUGAUCAGCCACACCGGGGCUGAGACACGGCCCGGACUCCUACGGGAGGCAGCAGUGGGGAAUAUUGGACAAUGGGGGCAACCCUGAUCCAGCGAUGCCGCGUGUGUGAAGAAGGCCUUCGGGUUGUAAAGCACUUUCGCGGGGGAAGAAACUUCGCGCUCUAACAUAGCGCGGCACUGACGGUACCCCGAGAAGAAGCGCCGGCUAACUCCGUGCCAGCAGCCGCGGUAAUACGGAGGGCGCGAGCGUUAAUCGGAAUGACUGGGCGUAAAGCGUGCGCAGGCGGCCGCGAAAGUCGGAUGUGAAAGCCCCCCGGCUCACCCNGGGACUGCGUNNCGAACUCCGCGGCUCGAGUC